rnacentral:tRNA from 1 species
AAAAAGAUAAGCUAACUUUAAGCUAAUGGGUUCAUACCCCAUCAAUGAAAAUAUUCUCUUUUUA